UAAUUAUAUUUGACUAUGAGCCACCAAGCCUUUAAUUAUUGGAUAACAUAUCUUCUGUACAAUAGAGUAAGGAAUUGAGGAGAAACAUAUCUCUCAUUCUCUUAGCUUUAUCGUUAUCGUCCAGCGGACAUUGUCUAACCCCAUCUUUCGUUUCGAAUUGUGAAUUAGACAUUGAAAAUAAAACAAAGUUCAAGUCUUCAAGACUUCACAUCUUCUUGCAUCCACAUUCAGCUUCCCCAUUUCUUGUUCGGAGGUUUUGAUUUUAAACAUUUAAGUAAAAUAACUUAGGUUUUGAUUUCAUAAUCAACAAUGGAGGAAUCAACACUGAGGAAGACUACCCUUACACAGCCAUGGGCGGGAGAUGCGACCAAAAUAGGAAAAAUGCUAAGGUUGUGACAAUUGAUGGGUAUGAAGAUGUUCCCGCUUAUGAUGAAAAGGCCCUACAAAAGGCUGUUGCAAAUCAACCCGUCAGUGUUGCCAUCGAAGCAGGUGGCAAGGACUUUCAACAUUACACCUCGCGUUUGGAGCUGAUUUGAGGUGAUUGAG